GCUUUCCCCUCUACCUCAAGCAAC
rnacentral:piRNA from 1 species